UAUAUGGGCAAACUAAAAGAAAUUUUAGGACGCAAAGCUACAGGGUCUUUAAAAUGACAGCCAGUUGCA
rnacentral:ncRNA from 1 species